CAGUGAUCCGUCAUAGACAUGCGCAAUCCUUAGCACGUGUUCAUAAACAAUUUUACAUGAUAGAGGGAACACAAGAAGUUAUUGUAGUGAUUUGUAGUUUGGAUUCUAACCCCUACUUAACUUUGGUAGUUUUGCAACAGCUCAGGCGCUUGUUUUAACAUGGGGACUGAAACUAAUAAAGACGAGCGUAGCACGCCUGAGUAUCUCGCACAGUUACUCAAAGACAAAAAACAGAUACAGGCUUUUCCCAACGUUUUUGUGCAUUUAGAAAAACUUUUAGACGAAGAAAUUAACAGAGUCCGACUACAGUUGUUUCAUCACAAAGGCAAUGGUCGUAUUCCCCUGGAACUUCCAGAUCCCAUCGGUCCAGUCCAGACAGUCUCAGAAAAGUUGUAUGUUCCUGUCAAAGAACAUCCAGAUUUUAAUUUUGUGGGACGGAUAUUGGGACCACGUGGGAUGACCGCUAAAGAGCUGGAACAGUUCACAGGUUGUAAGAUUAUGGUGCGAGGAAAAGGCUCAAUGAGGGACAAGAAGAAGGAGGAGCAGAACAGAGGCAAGCCUAACUGGGAGCACCUGAAUGAAGAACUCCACGUCCUCAUCACAGUGGAGGAUACGAUUAAUCGAGCAGAAGUCAAAAUGGCUAAAGCUAUGGAAGAAGUAAAAAAGCUGCUCGUACCUGCUCCCGACGGCGAGGAUGAUCUUAAGAAACGUCAGCUGAUGGAACUGGCAAUCAUCAAUGGCACAUACAGGGACACAUCUAAACCGGCUACCUCCCAGGCCGGUGGUCAGUCUGCGUCCUCUCAUGCCUUUGGACUUCCCUGGAAUGCACAACUUCAAACCAUGCAAAUGUUGGGUCAAAUCGACGCCAGUGGAAUCGACCAUAAGAGCAUACUAAAGACUUCAGAUUUUGGUUUUGCAGAGGCCCCCCGCUUCCUAACAGCGGCUUCUCCUCUGACUGCUGGCAUCUCCACUCAUCUACGUUCUCCAACACCUGCAGGUGCCCCUUUAAUCCUGGCCCCUCGCAUGCCUCAGGUUGCCACCAGCUCAGCAGCCAUGAUCAACCCACCCCCAUUAGUAUCUCCCACAGAUACCGCAGCCACAGGACUGAUGUACAACCCCUAUGAAUAUCCAUACUCCCUGCAGCCAGCGGCAGCCAUUGUGGAGUACCCAACCUCCUUUGAACAAACGGCAGCUGGUAUGUUGAAUUUCUCUGCUGUGCGGUAAAACCAUACACAUAGGAGUCAUGACAAGAAUCAUGAACCGUAGUAGAAUUUUAUUGAACAUUUUAGCCAAUUUUAUGCAAGCAUCCACAAUCAAAUGAACAUACAUGUAUGAAACCAUAUAUUAUUGAAAGAAUAUUUAUCCAAAUAUGGAGUCCCCACAAGUUUUCUUUGUACAGAAAAUGUUGACUUGAGUAUUUCUUAUUUUUAUCUAUUUUUUCGUUAUAUAUACAUAUAUUUAUUUUAGUCGACAAUCUUUUAAGAAUUAUGUAAUUUAUAAUUUUUUUCCCUCCCUCAUGAUUUACUUUUCAUUGAACAUUCCAUGUUUCCAAUGAGGAAUUGUGAACUGUAAAUUCGACAUAUGCAUAUUAUAUUGUCAUGUACGUUUGUAGCUAAAUUUGUGUAGAAGGUGGUAGUUUGUAAAUAAGAUGUUGUUUUAUUUCAUGCUAGCCUGUAAUAAUGGAGUCAUAGGGUAGGUGAUCUGAUACUAUCUGUUAGCUCAUGUUGAGGAGAAGAUUGGUUUGGAUAGCUUAAUGAGCAAAGGGACAUUACUCUAGAAAAUGAGUUCUUAAAAUGGAUUCUUGGAAGUUUUAUUUUUGUUUUAUUUUCCUUUUUUUUUUUUUUUUAAUUAGAAAUAAUCAAAAUUAGUUAUGGGGUAAAUAAGUUCAUGCAAAUUUUCAAGGGAGUUUUGUUUUUAUUGGAAUAUGAAGAUAAUAACUUUAGAUAAAAAAUGUGAUUCAGCUGACUUUGAAAAAUCCUAAGUUCACUAACAUUAAUAGUCAUGACAUAAACAUUUUAUUAACAGGUAAAUAAUUAGGAAAAUCAACGACCGUCAGUGCAUAAAUUGGGAGGUAGAGGUCUGAGUCACACACUGUUUGUAUGUGAUCAAAACACUGCUCACUCCUUAACAAAACAAACUAGUUCAUUAAUGAUUUAAUAGACAUUUUUCUUUUUGAUUGGUGGUGGCUUCAAGAUCAGAAAAUUUAUCUUUUUAAAAAAAAUGCAGACUGAAGAAAAUUAAAAAAUCCCUGUGUUUGCAAGUAUCAGCUGUUGAUUUGUAGGUUAAUCAAUUAUUCUUGAGUUUUGGAGUGAAUGAAUGAUAUUUUUUCGUAGUGAUUGCUUAUUGACAAUUUUAUUUUUUCGUCUUCUUUCGUGUUGUGUUAAUUUUAAUUUUGAAAGCUUGUGUUUAUUUUAUCCCUUUUCACGUCUUCAAAGGGUUGAUUUCAUUCAUAUACUGAUUUCACACCUAAAAAUUCAUAAUCUCUUUUAAUAGGAAUUUUUUCAUGCUUAUUCAAUUGCAUAUGAAUAAGAAAUGAAGUUUUUUGGCAUGUAAUAUGUAAUUGUUUUUGUUAAGCAGUUGAUUUUUGUAAUUACUACUUUAUAAUUAACAUAGUAACCUCCACCAAUAAUUAACUGUUUCUGGAAUUAACACGUUAAAUUAAUUAGAUGGCCCUUUUAAAAAGGUGCUUCUGAUGCUUUAAAUAUAAGACCAAUUGUCUUUCAAGCAUUUUGGUAUUUUUGGUAUAUUUUUUUUAUUAGUUUUUUGUUUCAUUUUAUACAAGAAAUCAAAUUUUUGUUGUAUUUUUAGAAGCAAUAUUUAGCACAAUGAGGACGCAAUCAACACUCAUGAGUUGACACAUACAUUUACUGUUUCACAUGCUUUUGACAAUUACAGUUGUCUCUAGCAUGACAUGUAGAGAAUGGAAGUAAGGACGAAAAGGUCGUCAUAGGUCCCAAUAUAUUAGCAUGUGGCAGAUUUGUACUAUUUGGAAAGUCGUUAGUAGUAACUUGCACUUUUCUUUCUGGGUAAUGGGGAAAAAGAAAAAAUUCGGGAUAAUUUUUCUGCAUUGAUAUUCAUUGGAGAUGGGUUGCCUGGGAGAAAACAACAACAGCAAACAAAAAAGGCAAUAAAUUUAAUAUUGAAUGGGAAUGUGGAAUCAAGAAUAUUAUUUGGUGUACCCCCGGAAGUGGAGUUUAUCCUAGAGUUGUCUCCCUUUCUUUACAUGGGAGAUAAGUAGGGGGUACAGACAGGUUUUAAUAUGUUUAGAUAUUGCAGGUGCUGUGCCUAAGAUGCGAAGGACCCUGGACAGUGUGAGGACACACCCCUAUACUAGGGUAGCCCUUCCAUAAGUUUUAGUAGGAAGCUGUGCCUACGAAACUAACUCAAACCCACCAGAACACUUGAAACAGAACAAAGAGCUACAAAACACAUUGGAUCAGGGGGCCUCAUGACAGGCAGCAGCGCACGGCACCUAACAUUGUCGUCCACGAUGUUCUACUCACAAUAAACAAAGCUGACAUCUUGGUGUGUGGGAAUUAUCCAACAAAAAUCGCUGGAUUAUAAACAAAGCUGCCUUCCUUAGCAAAACUGCAACCACUAACAUGCCUUAUAUUUAUAAAAUUAUAUAUAUAUAUAUAUGUUCUGGCAGAAAUUUUUGACUUCAUUUGGAUCAUUGAGUAAUUGUGAGUUGUGUUUAUUUUUUAAUAUGGAGGUCUGAUUUAAGAAUGGAUCGGUGUGUUUCGGAGCACAAACUUGUGAAAAUUGAGGUUGAAAUGAGGUCAAUAGAGAACCGUCCUUGUGCCAAUAAUAAAAAUCGUAGAAAAACUAAGUGCCUGACAAUUUAUACUCUUCAGACUAAUGUAGACUAACAUUGUUUGUGUAUCUUUUUUGUUGUUAAUGAAUGUUCAUUGGUGUGCAACAAAGAUUAUGGUAUGUCAUUUAUUUUUUCAUUAUUGAAAGAAUUUUUUUUUUGCCUUUUCACAUCAAGAACUUAGAUGAGAUUAACAUUUUAUAUUAUACCUUUAAAAACACUGUAUAGCAUAAUUAUUACCUCCUUACCGUUUUCACAUAUAUGUACUUUACAAACAUACUCAUAUCUUUCAGUAUGGGACAGAAUUGUUUGUCUGAAAUUAAUGAAGGGUAUCCAUGUCUUAACAGUUUGUUACCAUGAAAAAUCUUGGAAAUAUAUCUUUUGCUUUGAACAAACCUAUAGGAUCAUGAUAUGUGUGUAAUGAAGACUAUUCAUGCAAUGAUAUUACACCUUUGUAGUUGUUUUAGCUCACCUGAGCUAUAUUCAAGUGAGCUUUUUUGUUAUUUUGUAAGCAUAAUGUGGCUAGGUUUACUUAACAAAUGAGCCUAAAAUCAAAUUGCACUCUGCAGCUGUUAUAUUUAUGCUGUACGAGAUACAUUUCCAAGGUUUGGUUAGUUGACUCGGUAGUCUUUUUGCACAUUUGGCAUAUUACAAUGCUGAGAUUUAAUUUUUGUCUGGUGUGGAGAAUCCUCUAAUUUUUAUGUUAGGAUUCUCAACCUCUCUGUUGCUAAAAGCUUUCUUCAAGCUUGUUUUGUGUGAGUGGUUUCCAAUGCCUUGUUAGUAAGAAUUCUCAGACCAAAAUCUUUCUCUCCUGCUGUUUAAUAGGCUUUUAGUUAUUUUUUUUUUUUUUUUGACAUAUCAUGUUCAUAUAGAGAACAGAUUUAUUUUGUAAGUAUUAUAUUUUUGUGCACUUGUUAUUUUUACCAAACUUGGACAAUGUUCAUAUCACAAGUAAUAAUUGCAUUUUUUCUUUGUUCCUUUAUCACUUGUUAAAUAACCCGACACGGAUACCGCGGCCGAGAUUUACUUAAAACAACAAAAAAAUUGAAAAACCACAGGGAAGAGAAAGAAACCUUUUUUUGUAUAGAUUUAAUACCUUUGUACUGUAUAUAUAUAUAUAUAUAUAUAUUAGUAGAUUUAGUUGUUUUUGGUGGAUCAUUCAGUAAUAGUAGCUAUGCAACAUUUUGUCAAACUCCCUUAAAAUUGUAAUGUAUGGCUUUGUGAAAUUAAUGGAAGGCACUUUUGUAUUCCAACAUUAACUCUUUGUAUAACAAUGGUUGUAUCAAGGUGUUUUGGAGGGGUUCAAUCUACAUUAACUGUUCCCUUGCAGUAUGGUUAAAAAAAAUUAAAAUGAAAAAAAAUAUUCUGUUGUUGAAAAUAUGUGGAAAUACAAACUUUGUGAACGGUUGAUUCUCUUCAGUAGUAUAUAUACACGGUAGACAUCAGCCCUGAGCUAACUAUGUCAGUCCAUGUACAGGGAAGUGUAUUUAAGCUGAACCCCUCCAAGACUGUGAGAAAUGCAGUGUAUUGUAGAUUUGAAGUAAGGUAUGCUAGAAUUUGUAUUGCUGUUAAUGACCCCUCUGUUAAGCUUGGAGAACUUUUCAUAUUAAUUCAUUCAUGCUUAUUAUUGGCACAAUAUCUGAUAAAUAUUUUGGUAUAUUUUCUAAAUAUUUUAUACAUUUUGAUGGACAUCAUUGUGAUAUUUUUUUUCAACUUACAUUGAAAUCAUUGAUAUGCUCAACAAAAGCCAUAUUCAGCCCUUGAAAAACUGCUAACACAACACAUUUAUUUUGUUUAAAUCUUUAUAAAGAAAGGAAAUCGCAUAAGACCUGCUUCAGAAAAAAUCACUCUAUCCGAUUUCUGCUGAAUGACAAAUGUUUUACCUAGACAUUGAGUUUUAAAUUUUCAAAACAAAGUAACACUGAAAUUAAAGACUGGAAGAAUUUUUUUUAGAUACGUGCAUGAAAUUAACAGAAACUUGUGUUUGUCAGACAUUUCAACUCGCUAAUUGAUGCUUCUCAAAGAAAUGUAUCAUUUUGUAUUCAACCUGAAGAUUUUUGUUUUGUUUUGAGUCUAUACAUGGUGCAUCAGCAUAAUAUUUUGUUGGUACAAUAUACAGGCAUUUUCUGCUGAGGUCACUCAUUCUUGAAUAUUAUUAAAGAUUUUAAAGGUAGGCUCACUGUUUAAAUAUUCAGCUGUAAGCAAGGACGUCUCCUCAGCAGAAAAUCUCUGUUUCCAAAGCAAUAAUUAACACCGUAUUGUAUAUUUCACAGCUGUUUAAUAUGGAUAGUUCCGCAUGAUUUACCUGUAGUUAGAUAAGUUUUACAAGGUAUUGUAAUGAAUCUCAAAUUCUCAUCAACUCAUCUUUCAUUUACCCUUAAACUAACUCCAGCUUUCUCCCCCCUCAAAUCGUACUUGGAAAUACUCCCCUCCGUGUCUGGUGAGGUUGACAAUGCUUUUGGUAAGUUUCUUUCCUGUUUUUCUUUUAUAAUCCUUCACAGUUAUUGUAUGAUAGAUUCAAAGUCUGUUUGCCUGUAUAUACUUAUAUAAACAGCGAAUUAACCCUACUGCUACUGAAAAUGCAUUUGUUGUCUUAUUGCAUAUUAUUGUAAUAUAUUUUCUGUUCACUAGUAAUAAAGGGUUUAAAAACAGUACUCAUCUUUGCAGUUCAUACUAACCCAAUGGAUAUGAAUCUUUUUUUAACACUGCAUCGUUUCGUUACUAAAUAUAACCAUUUAUAUACUUUGCUGUUGUGUUUCUGUUACUAUAGUAACAAUGCAUGUCAAGCUAUUAUUGGUGGAGUAUAGAUCGUCCAAAGAAAUCUGGAUCACCCGUGACAGGUUUAGACGGACGUGAUAGAAAACAGUCUGUUUCACACUAAUCGUCGUAUUUUCAAACACAACUUUUUUUCAAGAUCAAAGUAAUGGCUUUUAAGGAAAUGUUUAUUUUAACAUUUCAUCAAUCUGAAAUAGAUUAAAUUAUCCAGGUUACACACACACAAAAAAUAUCAACAAUUCUUCAAACUACGUUCUUCCAUAUACCGUGUAUUCGUAUGAUGACUAAGCAUGAUACUAACUUCACAUCUAUUAAUGGCCUGUUAGAUUCCUGGCUUGUUGAUCUGUUCAUUGGUUAGUACUCACAACAAUCCGCUAUCAGUAUACAUCAUAAACCUGUACUUCCACGUACUAGUGCCUUAUAGGGUAAUACAUAUGAUGCAAAGCGAUGUGCCAAAGACACAAACACUGCUACCAUUUAGACGCCCUACCAACGAACACUUUUCAGGGAGCUUGUAUUCUGUGAUAAUGAAUGUCUUUUGAAGGUCCCAACGUAAAAUCAUUUACUGUUCAAUCAUGUUUAAAUUGUUUACGGCAUCGACGAGUUUCUUGCCAGACAACCGCAAACUGUAUUUGUUUUAAAAAGUUGAGAUCACGUGAAUUGCUGGAAAUGACACGUGACCUUGUGUUAUCCAUGACAAAGUUAGCAGCCAGUAUUCUUUUUUUUUUUUAAUUCAUGCAGAUUAUUUUGUACGUGAUGUAUUAUUGAAUUUCAUUAUAUCCAUGAUGACUACCAACUCAUAGGACAGUGUAACGUAUCUCCGUUUGAUUGACUGUUCUUUUCAUUACUUUGCGAAUGGUUGAUCAAGUAACAUAACUUUUCAUUGGCCAGAUUAAAUGUAUAAUCAUGUUUUAUUGGUUGAUGACGAUGUACAAUCAUGGAGUUGGAAAUCUCUUUAUAAAUAUGUUUAUAUACAUUUGGUCAUUAAAGGAUGGCCGAUUUAUAUCACUGGACUCGUACAAGGAGUUUUAUUUUCAAAUAUUAAACUCAUUAUGUAUUCA